rnacentral:rRNA from 1 species
GGAUGAACGCUGGCGGCGUGCCUAAUACAUGCAAGUCGAGCGAAUGGAUUAAGAGCUUGCUCUUAUGAAGUUAGCGGCGGACGGGUGAGUAACACGUGGGUAACCUGCCCAUAAGACUGGGAUAACUCCGGGAAACCGGGGCUAAUACCGGAUAACAUUUUGAACUGCAUGGUUCAAAAUUGAAAGGCGGCUUCGGCUGUCACUUAUGGAUGGACCCGCGUCGCAUUAGCUAGUUGGUGAGGUAACGGCUCACCAAGGCAACGAUGCGUAGCCGACCUGAGAGGGUGAUCGGCCACACUGGGACUGAGACACGGCCCAGACUCCUACGGGAGGCAGCAGUAGGGAAUUUUCCGCAAUGGACGAAAGUCUGACGGAGCAACGCCGCGUGAGUGAUGAAGGCUUUCGGGUCGUAAAACUCUGUUGUUAGGGAAGAACAAGUGCUAGUUGAAUAAGCUGGCACCUUGACGGUACCUAACCAGAAAGCCACGGCUAACUACGUGCCAGCAGCCGCGGUAAUACGUAGGUGGCAAGCGUUAUCCGGAAUUAUUGGGCGUAAAGCGCGCGCAGGUGGUUUCUUAAGUCUGAUGUGAAAGCCCACGGCUCAACCGUGGAGGGUCAUUGGAAACUGGGAGACUUGAGUGCAGAAGAGGGAAAGUGGAAUUCCAUGUGUAGCGGUGAAAUGCGUAGAGAUAUGGAGGGAACACCAGUGGCCGAAGCGACUUUCUGGUCUGUAACUGACACUGAGGCGCGAAGGCGUGGGGGAGCAAACAGGAUUA